CCUGCGGAAGGAUCAUUACUGAGUGAGGGUUCCUUCGGGGCCCAACCUCCCACCCUUGUAUACUGUACCAAGUUGCUUCGGCGGGCCCGCCGUUCGCGCGGCCGCCGGGGGGGAACCCCUCCCCCCGGGCGAGCGCCCGCCGGAGACCCCAACGUGAACACUGUCUGAAGUUUUGUCGUCUGAGUUCGAUUGUAUCGCAAUCAGUUAAAACUUUCAACAAUGGAUCUCUUGGUUCCGGCAUCGAUGAAGAACGCAGCGAAAUGCGAUAAUUAAUGUGAAUUGCAGAAUUCAGUGAAUCAUCGAGUCUUUGAACGCACAUUGCACCCCCUGGUAUUCCGGGGGGUAUGCCUGUCCGAGCGUCAUUGCUGCCCUCAAGCCCGGCUUGUGUGUUGGGUCCUCGUCCCCCCCGGGGGACGGGCCCGAAAGGCAGCGGCGGCACCGCGUCCGGUCCUCGAGCGUAUGGGGCUUUGUCACACCGCUCUCGUAGGCCCGGCCGGCGCUGGCCGACGCUGAAAAGCAACCAUUAUUUCUCCAGGUUGACCUCGGAUCAGGUAGGGAUACCCGCUGAACUUAAGCAUAUCA
rnacentral:rRNA from 1 species